GGGGAUGCAAGGAUUCGACAGAAAGCUUCAUUUCUUAAAUCGCAAUCCGGGCGUUGCAUUGUCCGCCCGCAUAUCCGUCAAUGCAAAAAUAACUGCUAACGCAGGAGAAAUGGCUACAGUCAGAGCUCUUCGCGCUUCCGCGCCGGCUUUGGCCGUUGCCUAAUUUCAUCUGAAAAUUUUCGGAUGAACGUUUAGCCGCUGAUUCCUAAUAGGCGGGUCUAAAUGUCAUAUUUUAGGAUAAGCGCGUUUCAUAGGGAGCUGUAUGGAACGCGACGAAAAUUUAUCAGCCUGCCGCGCCGGGCUUUUGUCCGUUUUUAUCCAGCACGGUACAAAAACAAACGGACUAAGAUUGUAGAAGUUUAAGACUUGGCUUUUUGGACCCGGGUUCAACUCCCGGCAUCUCCACCA
rnacentral:tmRNA from 1 species